GUCGAGAAUCUUCCUCAAUGGCCGAAAGGCUGAAGGAGCGACGCCGCGUGUACGAAGAAGCUCUUCGGGGUGUAAAGUACUUUUCUCUGGGACGAAUCUAUGACGGUACCAGAGGAAUAAGGGGCUGCUAACCUCGUGCCAGCAGCAGCGGUAAUACGAGGGCCCCUAGCGUUAUCCGGAUUUAUUGGGCGUAAAGGGUCCGUAGGCGGUCUACCGCAUCUUCUGUUAAAUCUUUCCGCUCAACGGAAAAACCGCGGAAGAGAUGGGUAGACUAGAGACCGGGGGAGGCAAGCGGAAUUGCUGGUGUAGGGGUUAAAUCCGUUAAUAUCAGCAGGAACACCAAAUGCGAAAGCAGCUUGCUAAAACGAGUCUGACGCUCAGGGACGAAAGCGUGGGUAGCGAAUGGGAUUAGAUACCCGGGUAGUCC
rnacentral:rRNA from 1 species